rnacentral:rRNA from 1 species
UUCGGGGGGCGAGUAAAGCGGCGAAAGGGUGAGUAACACGUGGGUAACCUGCCCCUUGGACCGGGAUAACCCGCCGAAAGGUGGGUUAAUACCGGAUAAGACCACGCGGACAUAUGUCCGAGCGGUAAAAGAUGGCCUCUGCUUGCAAGCUAUCACCGAGGGAUGGGCCCGCGUCCUAUUAGCUAGUUGGUAGGGUAACGGCCUACCAAGGCUAUGAUGGGUAGCCGGCCUGAGAGGGUGUACGGCCACACUGGAACUGAGACACGGUCCAGACUCCUACGGGAGGCAGCAGUGGGGAAUUUUGCGCAAUGGGGGAAACCCUGAUGCAGCAACGCCGCGUGAGUGAUGAAGGCCUUCGGGUCGUGAAACUCUUUUGGUGGGGAAGAAAUGCGUCGUGGCUAACAUCCACGGCGCUUGACGGUACCCACAGAAAAAGUCCCGGCUAACUCCGUGCCAGCCGCGGUAAUACGGAGGGGCCCAGCGUUGUUCGGAAUCAUUGGGCGUAAAGAGCGCGCAGGCGGUUGGGUCAGUCAGACGUGGAAGCCCUGGGCUUAACCCAGGAAUUGCGUUUGAUACUGCCCGGCUCGAGUUCGGGAGAGGGUGGCGGAAUUCCCAGUGUAGAGGUGAAAUUCGUAGAUAUUGGGAGGAACACCUGUGGCGAAGGCGGCUACCUGGACCGAUACUGACGCUGAGGCGCGAAAGCCAGGGGAGCGAACGGGAUUAGAUACCCCGGUAGUCCUGUGCUGUAAACGAUGAUGACUAGGUGUAGGAGGUAUCGACCCCUCCUGUGCCGCAGCUAACGCAUUAAGUCAUCCGCCUGGGGAUUACGGCCGCAAGGCUAAAACUCAAAGGAAUUGACGGGGGCCCGCACAAGCGGUGGAGCAUGUGGUUUAAUUCGACGCAACGCGAAGAACCUUACCUGGGCUUGACAUCCCGUGCAACCCGGUGAAAGCCGGUUUUCCCUUCGGGGACGCGGUGACAGGUGCUGCAUGGCUGUCGUCAGCUCGUGUCGUGAGAUGUUGGGUUAAGUCCCGCAACGAGCGCAACCCUCACCCUUAGUUGCCAUCAGGUAAUGCUGGGAACUCUAAGGGAACUGCCGGUGAUAAACCGGAGGAAGGUGGGGAUGACGUCAAGUCCUCAUGGCCUUUAUGCCCAGGGCUACACACGUGCUACAAUGGCCGGUACAAAGGGGUGCGAGCCCGCGAGGGGGAGCAAAUCCCAGAAACCCGGUCUCAGUUCGGAUUGAAGUCUGCAACUCGACUUCAUGAAG